UACGUAGGCAGCGAGCGUUGUUCGGAAUUACUGGGCGUAAAGGGUGCGUAGGUGGCGCCAUAAGUCAGGUGUGAAAUCUCGGGGCUCAACCCCGAAACUGCAUUUGAUACUGUGGUGCUCGAGUACUGGAGAGGAGAUUGGAAUUUACGGUGUAGCAGUGAAAUGCGUAGAUAUCGUAAGGAAGACCAGUGGCGAAGGCGAAUCUCUGGACAGUUACUGACACUGAGGCACGAAGGCCAGGGGAGCAAACGGG
rnacentral:rRNA from 1 species